UUAUAAUUUUGUUACUAUAAC
rnacentral:piRNA from 1 species